GCGCUGGUCGAAGUCCUGGCCGUGGAUGAUCCGCAUCUGCUUCAGGAAGGUGGACUUGCCGCUCUCGCCCGCGCCCAGCAGCAGGAUCUUCACCAGCCGCUUCACCCUUCAAAAAACCAUCCCUGAGCUGCCAGUGACCAGCCGAAACCUCAGCUUAUCCUCAGUCGGAGGUUCAGAGACACGCAUCGGUGACCCCAGACACACCUCGCUCGGAAGCGUCAGACCCACUCCAGCUGCUGGUUUAUACAGCACUACAAAAAGCCCUGCCCACUCACACACACUCCUUGAUGUGCAUGCAGAGGCCAGAGCAGGAUGUUAAGGCAGGCUCUCUCAUUGACACAGAAGUUCCCCAUCUCAGGGACAGCAUCAGGAGAUGGCUAGAGUGGAGCCUCUGAGCCAUGGCCAACUGGAAGCCUCUUUUGCCUGGAGUGAGAGGUACUGCUGGCUGGGAGGAUGCCCCUUUCCCAGAGGCCAGACUAGACCUCAACAGCUUCCAAGUUCCCAGACUCUCAGGAUGGAUCUCAGCCCAGUUACUCCAUCUCACUCAUUCACUAGCUGGUCCUCAGCUUGGAGCCGUUAGUACCCUUCCCACGGGAGUCCGGGGGAGUCUCUGGCUAUCCCCACCCUUCCCAAGGCCAUCCUGGGCAGGGAGCCAAAAACACAAUUUAUGGAAAAAGCAGAGGCCAAAUAUAAAUUAUUUUUUAAACUAACCUCCGGUUAUCUGAUCACCCGGGAUGUCUGCUCAGUGAAGAAAUCCUAAGAGUUAAACAUUUCAAGAAGAGAUAGCGUCACUUCUUUUGGGGGGUGCAGCCAGAGGCAGGGUGUGACCCCAGAAGACUCUCCUCUGCUGAGCCACUUGUGUAGUAGUGAGAAGCGAGGAGAGGGCAGGGGAUGUGCAGCUCAGUGGCAGAGUGCAUGCCUAGCAUGUGGCAGACCUGGCUUUGAUCCCCAGCAAAGGGACAGGCCAAGAGGUGGGACUUUAAGAGCAAAGUACUUAAGAAUUUAAAAAAGAAUAACAAAUACUGUCCUGGCUUUCUAAGAAGGGAGUGGAUCACGGGACUCCCAACUCAUUUGUUUUAAACCGUGGAGGAGCUGGGGUUGGGGAAGGCUUUCAGCCCCUCCUGGGACAGACAGAUAUCAUGGUUAAUUUGCCAGGGGAAGCACAGCAAGUUCCCAAGGGGAGGCUAAAACCAAGAGCCUUCAACUUGUUUCCAGAUCUUGUUUCCAGAGAGAUUUGCGCCUCCAUGCCCUGUGGAGAAUGAUGAAAUCUCAAUCAAUAAGGAACUUUGUUAAUAACCAGGAACUAUGUGAUGUUUCUGAAAAGCUUUCCUGCCAGUGCCUGGUGUGGUCUUCUCAGAAAGUAAUAACACGUCCUUACAGAGACGUUUCUAUUAACAAAUUGCUUUCUUGGUUAAUCUUUUUUUCUUUUCAACGGUUCCAGCCACUGUGUGUGUAUGUGUGUGUGUUGCUCUUUAUAUAUAAUAUAUAUGUUAUGUAUGGUAUUGUAACAUUUAUUUAACAUAUAUAUUGUUUUUUUAAAAACAUUUACCUGUUUUUACUCACAUAUGCAUGUGUUGCUUUAAUAUAUGUUAUAUGUUGCGUAUAGUAUAACAUUUAUUUAACAUAUAUUGUUUGUUUCCUAUAUAUUUACUUAUUGCUUUUACAUGUGUGUGUGCAUGAUUUUAUGUGCCCACAUGCAUGCAGGUACCUGUGGAGACCAGAGAACAUCAGAUCCCCUGGAGCUGGAGCUCCAGGUUGUCUAGGGUUUUUAUUGCUUCAAUAAAACACCAUGACCAAAAAGCAA
rnacentral:lncRNA from 1 species